rnacentral:rRNA from 1 species
GACGAACGCUGGCGGCGUGCUUAACACAUGCAAGUCGAACGAGAGCGUAGAGAAAGCUUGCUUUUUCUACAAUCUAGUGGCAAACGGGUGAGUAACGCGUAAACAACCUGCCCUACGGAUGGGGACAACAGCUGGAAACGGCUGCUAAUACCGAAUACAUUCCGAAAGUCGCAUGACUAUCGGAAGAAAGGAUGGCCUCUAUUUAUAAGCUAUCGCCGGAGGAGGGGUUUGCGUCUGAUUAGCUAGUUGGAGGGGUAACGGCCCACCAAGGCGACGAUCAGUAGCCGGUCUGAGAGGAUGAACGGCCACAUUGGAACUGAGACACGGUCCAGACUCCUACGGGAGGCAGCAGUGGGGAAUCUUCCGCAAUGGGCGAAAGCCUGACGGAGCAACGCCGCGUGAGUGAAGACGGCCUUCGGGUUGUAAAGCUCUGUUAUACGGGACGAAUAAUCUUGUGGUUAAUACCCAUGAGAAGUGACGGUACCGUAAGAGAAAGCCACGGCUAACUACGUG